rnacentral:rRNA from 1 species
UACGUAGGGUGCGAGCGUUGUCCGGAAUUAUUGGGCGUAAAGAGCUCGUAGGCGGUCUGUCGCGUCUGCUGUGAAAACUCAGGGCUUAACCCUGAGCUUGCAGUGGGUACGGGCAGACUAGAGUGCGGUAGGGGAGACUGGAAUUCCUGGUGUAGCGGUGAAAUGCGCAGAUAUCAGGAGGAACACCGGUGGCGAAGGCGGGUCUCUGGGCCGUAACUGACGCUGAGGAGCGAAAGCGUGGGGAGCAAACAGG